UGUAGCUCAGUAGUACAGCAUCUGCCUGGCAAGCACAAGUCACCAAGUUCAAGUCUUGGUA
rnacentral:tRNA from 1 species